UCGGGAGAAGGGGUGCUGAUCAUACGAUCAGCCGCAGUGAAUAGGCCCAAGCGACUGUUUAUCAAAAACACAGGUCUCUGCAAAAUCGUAAGAUGAAGUAUAGGGGCUGACGCCUGCCCGGUGCUGGAAGGUUAAGAGGAGUGCUUAGCGCAAGCGAAGGUACGAAUUGAAGCCCCAGUAAACGGCGGCCGUAACUAUAACGGUCCUAAGGUAGCGAAAUUCCUUGUCGGGUAA
rnacentral:rRNA from 1 species